rnacentral:tRNA from 1 species
UAAAAUUUAAGUUAAAUUAAACUAUAAAUCUUCAAAAUUUAAUAUAAAUUAAAUUUGCAAUUUAAUUGUAA